GGCUGUAAUGGUCUUAUCGGAUGAAGGUAUCUCACAAUUUCCCAAUUCGGUUUUUCCACCAAAUCCGUAGGCUCCCUCCCGUCGGCGCCCAGCACGAACGCUGCGGAAGCUUUGUGACACUCGCUUGGGAAACCAGCGACGCUGUCCGGCUCUAAGCAUUCGGGGAUCACCCUUCAGGAAGGUUUCACUUCGCAGAGAAAUCCUCACCGUCGUGUGGCGAGUUGGAUUACGAUCGCGGGGGGCUUGGUGGGCUGGAUUGGGAUGGAGGUUUCAACUCCAAUAUAUAUUUUUUUUUCGAGGUU
rnacentral:SRP_RNA from 1 species